AGCUCCAAGAGUGUAUGCUAAUUUUGUUGCAGUUGAAAAGCUCGUAGUCUAAUUCCAAAACAAAAUAAUCAAAUCUUUGUGAUAUGAUUUAUUUUUUUAAAAAAUAAUAUAAGCCAAAAUAUAAGCAAAAUAUUUUUUUAAUUUACUGUGAAAAAAAUAAAAAGAUUAAAAUUUAGUCUGAUUUAAAUAAUACAUUUAAAUUUAGCUAGAAUACAUUAGCAUGGGAUAGCGCCAAAUUGAAAAUGGAAUUUUGAACACCUUUUGCUUGUUUCAAAAUUCAAAUAAUUUUCCAAGUUAAUAGAGUUUUGCGAUGCCAUCUGUAUUGCUCGGAGACAGGUGAAAUUGGUUGACCCUAGCAAGACAAACUGAAGCGCAGGCGUUUGGCAAGUUCAAGCUCA
rnacentral:rRNA from 1 species